rfam:Triticum aestivum genome assembly, contig: Triticum_aestivum_CS42_TGACv1_scaffold_096179_2AL
AAUGUACUCCCUCCGUUCCGAAUUACUUGUCGCGGGUAUGGAUGUAUCUAGAUGUAUUUUAAUUUUAGAUAUCCAUUUUUGCGACGAGUAAUUUGGAACGGAGGGAGUAUGAU